rnacentral:rRNA from 1 species
AUGGUUGUUCGUCUACCUUUAUCCUUGGAAGCCCAGGCAGAAGCCCGCUUACUUAUGUUUUCUCAUAUGAAUCUCUUAUCUCCCGCUAUUGGGGAUCCUAUUUGCGUACCAACCCAAGACAUGCUUAUCGGGCUUUAUGUAUUAACAAUUGGAAAGCGUCGAGGUAUUUGUGCAAAUAGAUAUAAUAGUUGCACAAACUAUCCAAAUCUAAAAGUAAAUUACAAUAAUAAUAAUAAUUAUAAAUAUAGGAAAGAUAAAGAACCCCAUUUUUCUAGUUCUUAUGAUGCAUUAGGAGCUUAUAGACAAAAACUAAUCAGUUCAGAUAGUCCGUUGUGGCUACGAUGGAACAUGGAUCAACGUGUCAUGGGGUCAAGAGAAGUUAUGAUUGAAGUUCAAUAUGAAUCUUUGGGGAUUUAUCAAGAGAUUUAUGCCCACAUAUAA